rnacentral:rRNA from 1 species
UACGUAGGUGGCAAGCGUUGUCCGGAUUUACUGGGCGUAAAGAGCGCGCAGGCGGUCGUCCAAGUCGCGUGUGAAAGCCCCCGGCUCAACUGGGGAGGGUCACGCGAUACUGGUCGACUCGAAGGCAGGAGAGGAUAGUGGAAUUCCCAGUGUAGUGGUGAAAUACGUAGAGAUUGGGAAGAACACCAGUGGCGAAGGCGGCUAUCUGGACGGUUUCUGGACGCUAAGACGCGAAAAGCGUGGGGGAGCAAACAGG